GAUAUGUUGGUUCAAGCCUGUAGUCGUGCCUGGUAGGCAAAUCCGCCGGGCUUAGAUGAGGGGUGAUAACGAGUCUGCUUGCAGACGAAGUGAGUGAUACCCAGCUUCCAGGAAAAGCCACUAAGCUUCAGCUACACACGACCGUACCGCAAACCGACACUGGUGCGCGAGAUGAGUAUUCUAAGGCGCUUGAGAGAACUCAGGAGAAGGAACUCGGCAAAUUGAUACCGUAACUUCGGGAGAAGGUAUGCCCCAAGUAGGUGAACUCGAACAGAGGGAGCCCAACGGGGUUGCAAAAAAUCGGUGGCUGCGACUGUUUAAUAAAAACACAGCACUCUGCAAACACGAAAGUGGACGUAUAGGGUGUGACGCCUGCCCGGUGCUGGAAGAUUAAAUGAUGGGGUGCAAGCUCUUGAUUGAAGUCCCAGUAAACGGCGGCCGUAACUAUAACGGUCCUAAGGUAGCGAAAUUCCUUGUCGGGUAAGUUCCGACCUGCACGAAUGGCGUAACGAUGGCCACACUGUCUCCUCCUGAGACUCAGCGAAGUUGAAAUGUUUGUGAUGAUGCAAUCUCCCCGCGGAAAGACGGAAAGACCCCAUGAACCUUUACUGUAGCUUUGUAUUGGACUUUGAACAGAUCUGUGUAGGAUAGGUGGGAGGCUUUGAAGUGAUGUCGCUAGAUGUCAUGGAGCCAACGUUGAAAUACCACCCUGGUGUGUUUGAGGUUCUAACCUAGGUCCAUUAUCUGGAUCGGGGACAGUGCAUGGUAGGCAGUUUGACUGGGGCGGUCUCCUCCCAAAGCGUAACGGAGGAGUUCGAAGGUACGCUAGUUACGGUCGGACAUCGUGACGAUAGUGCAAUGGCAUAAGCGUGCUUAACUGCGAGACUGACAAGUCGAGCAGAUGCGAAAGCAGGACAUAGUGAUCCGGUGGUUCUGUAUGGAAGGGCCAUCGCUCAACGGAUAAAAGGUACUCUGGGGAUAACAGGCUGAUACCGCCCAAGAGUUCAUAUCGACGGCGGUGUUUGGCACCUCGAUGUCGGCUCAUCUCAUCCUGGGGCUGUAGCCGGUCCCAAGGGUAUGGCUGUUCGCCAUUUAAAGAGGUACGUGAGCUGGGUUUAAAACGUCGUGAGACAGUUUGGUCCCUAUCUUCCGUGGGCGCUGCAGAUUUGAGGAAGCCUGCUCCUAGUACGAGAGGACCGGAGUGGACACACCUCUGGUGUAUCGGUUGUCACGCCAGUGGCAUUGCCGAGUAGCUAAGUGUGGAAGAGAUAACCGCUGAAAGCAUCUAAGCGGGAAACUCGUUUCAAGAUGAGAUCUGCCGGGGCCUUGAGCCCCCUGAAGAGUCGUUCAAGACCAGGACGUUGAUAGGUCAGGUGUGGAAGC
rnacentral:rRNA from 1 species